rnacentral:rRNA from 1 species
AGUGAACGCUGGCGGUAGGCCUAACACAUGCAAGUCGAACGGCAGCACCGUAAGAGCUUGCUCUUACGGGUGGCGAGUGGCGGACGGGUGAGGAAUACAUCGGGAUCUACUUUUUCGUGGGGGAUAACGUAGGGAAACUUACGCUAAUACCGCAUACGCCCUACGGGUGAAGGCAGGGGAUCUUCGGACCUUGCGCGAUUGAAUGAGCCGAUGUCGGAUUAGCUAGUUGGCGGGGUAAAGGCCCACCAAGGCGACGAUCCGUAGCUGGUCUGAGAGGAUGAUCAGCCACACUGGAACUGAGACACGGUCCAGACUCCUACGGGAGGCAGCAGUGGGGAAUAGUGGACAAUGGGCGCAAGCCUGAUCCAGCCAUACCGCGUGGGUGAAGAAGGCCUUCGGGUGGUAAAGCCCUUUUGUUGGGAAAGAAAAGCAGCAGGUUAAUACCCCGCUGUUCUGACGGUACCCAAAGAAUAAGCACCGGCUAACUUCGUG